rnacentral:rRNA from 1 species
CCUACGGGUGGCAGCAGUGAGGAAUAUUGGUCAAUGGCCAUAAGGCUGAUCCAGCCAAGCCGCGUGUAGGAAGAAGGAUCUAUGGUUUUUAAACUUUUUUUAUGGGGGAAUAGAGAUAUCCACGUGUGGAUAUUUGCAUUUACCCUAUGAAUAAGCAUCGGAUAACUCCGUGCCAGCCGCCGCGUUAAGACGGGGGAUACGAGCGUUAUACGGAUUUAUUGGGUUUAAAGUGUGCGUAGGUUGUUUUUUAAGUCAGCGGUGAAAGUUUGUGGCUCAACCAUAAAAUUGCCGGUGAACCUGGAGGACUUGAGUGUGUGUGAGGUAGGCGGAAUGCGGGGUGGAGCGGUGAAAUGCAUAGAUAUCACGCAGAACUCCGAGUGCGAAGGCAGCUUACGACGCCAUAACUGACACUGAAGCACGAAAGCGUGGGGAUCAAACAGGAUUAGAUACCCCAAGUC